GAUGAACGCUAGCGGCAGGCCUAAUACAUGCAAGUCGAACGAUAUUAUCCAGCUUGCUGGAUAUGAAAGUGGCGCACGGGUGCGUAACGCGUAUGCAACCUACCUUAUUCAGGGGGAUAGCCCGAAGAAAUUCGGAUUAACACCGCAUAAAAUCACAGUUCAGCAUUGGACAAUGAUCAAAUAUUUAUAGGAAUAAGAUGGGCAUGCGUGUCAUUAGCUAGUUGGCGGGGUAACGGCCCACCAAGGCGACGAUGACUAGGGGAUCUGAGAGGAUGGCCCCCCACACUGGUACUGAGACACGGACCAGACUCCUACGGGAGGCAGCAGUAAGGAAUAUUGGUCAAUGGAGGGAACUCUGAACCAGCCAUGCCGCGUGCAGGAAGACGGCCCUCUGGGUUGUAAACUGCUUUUAUUCGGGAAUAAACCUAUUUACGUGUAAAUAGCUGAAUGUACCGAAGGAAUAAGGAUCGGCUAACUCCGUGCCAGCCGCCGCCGUAA
rnacentral:rRNA from 1 species